GACGAACGCUGGCGGCGUGCUUAACACAUGCAAGUCGUACGGUAAGGCCCUUUCGGGGGUACACGAGUGGCGAACGGGUGAGUAACACGUGAGUAACCUGCCCACAACUUUGGGAUAACGCUAGGAAACUGGUGCUAAUACUGGAUAUGUGCUCCUGCUGCAUGGUUGGGGUUGGAAAGCUCCGGCGGUUGUGGAUGGACUCGCGGCCUAUCAGCUUGCUGGUGGGGUAGUGGCCUACCAAGGCGGCGACGGGUAGCCGGCCUGAGAGGGUGACCGGCCACAUUGGGACUGAGAUACGGCCCAGACUCCUACGGGAGGCAGCGGUGGGGAAGAUUGCACAAUGGGCGCAGGCCUGAUGCAGCACCGCCGCGUGCGGGAUGACGGCCUUCGGGUUGUAAAGCGCUUUCAGCAGGGACGAAGCUUUUUGUGACGGUACCUGCAGAAGAAGCACCGGCUAACUACGUG
rnacentral:rRNA from 1 species